UUUGCCAGCUUCCUCUCGCCUCACCACUUUCACCCAGUAAUUCAUCCGAAAUUUCCCUCCGAAUAAUUCGCUUGCAACAAUUCGAUGCUCGUAACAAAGGAAAAUUGCAUUUUAUUAACUAUUCCAUAUGUAUGAAUAUCGAUAUUGAUUAGUCAAUUAGAAAAUUUUAACAAACGAAUUUGUAAAUGUAGAAAGUCAAAAGUGAAAACGAAAGGAGAAGCUCUACAAUGCGCUCAAAUCGCAAUUACUCAUUUAAAAUGGAAAUGAAAAAAAGAAAGCAAAAAGCAGAAAGCAGAGAGCAGAAACGGAAAUUUAUUGUGAAAAUUCGAGGGAAAACUUUACCAUUCACUUCCACAAACAAUUUGGCAGCUUUCAUUCAAUCGCUGCAAUCGCAGCCUUCGAAGCGAAUGUCAAGGAAAAGAAAUUACAUAAAAGACGCAUAAUAGUGGAUAUUAUUGAAUAGAAAUUCUGGUUUUUGCUUCUAUAAAGAAAAAGAAAAGUUUUCAGUGCCUGACCAAGCUAAGGAAAGUCAUUCAUUGUGAUGUUUUCUUUUCUCCUUUUUUCAGCUUCUCAUUUGUGAAAGUGGCUGAUUGACAAUGACACUCGAGGAAAUAGAAACCAAAAUGGAAUUUUUAGAAAGUUUAAAAACCCAAAAACUUAACUAAAGAGUACAAGAAUUUCGAAAAGUCAGUUGUUAACAAAUAAAAUAAUAAUAAAAAUUCGUCAGAGGCGAAAAUGAGCUGAAGCGACUUUGAAUUUAAGGAAUUCCAUGCACUUAUCUGACCGCCGACGCAAAAUUUUUUCCAAGUUAAAAUUGUGCUAAUCAUCGGUAUAGAAGCAAAAUACAAUUUUCAUACUCAUGCACUGUCGGUCCCAAUAGCCGAGUCAUUCACUAGUACUGUGCGCUAUCAUGCCAAAGGCCUUGGGUUCUUGGAAAACUUCAAGUCGCUUACCACAAACCAGCGAAGGAGCUCGUCUGAAAAUCGAUUCAUCGGCGAUCACUUAUUGCAACGUAUGCAACUCGAAUACUUUAUGCACAUAGCAUCGUUGUAUUCACUCCAUACAUUAAAUGAGAAAUUCUUGAGUUUCAUAAGCUGCCCUAAUUGAAGAGAGUAAAUUUACACUUAAUUAAUUAUGUAAUCUGGUAUAAGCAAUAUUUAUCGAAUAUGAAGAGUGCAAGUGAAAGAAAAAAUAUAAACACACAACUGUAAACAGAAUUGAAUUAAUCUAAUUCCCUUUAUUUAAUCACGAGGUAAAUGAGACGGGGAAGAUAACAAAAUACAAGCGAUGGGCGUACUUAUGAUGGAGAAGAAAAUGCAAUAAAAAGUAGGUUGAGGAAAUUCAAAAAAAAUAUAUAAAUUUAUUUUUAAUUUAAAAUAUUCUUUAUUUAAAAAAAUUGUUGCCUUUUAUAUUUAAGUGUCGAAUCUUAAAUGCCACAAAAUUACAUGAUUUAUUUUUUUUUAUAUUAUUAACUG